GAGCAGCUGUCCUUAUACUGACAGCCCUGUUCAGGUCAUGGAGGCUUUGACCUGCCUCUGAACUGACAGUCUGAAGCACUGGACAGAUACUGCUGUUUCAGUUCUUCAACGUUUAUCUCAGGGAUCAGGUUUCCAGAAAUCUGCUGCAGUUGAGUUCCCAUAAUGAAAUGGCACAGCAAAGUCACCCACAUCAGGCACUCAAAACAAGCCUUCAAAUCCCCCUCUCUCCUCUUGACUUCAAAACACAGGGAAGAGUAAACGCAUAUAUAUUGUUAUGGCCCCAUUUCUUGCUGGUAGGUACGUGUGGGACAUGGGAAGCUGGUGGCAGAAGAAAGAGCAGAACCAGUGUUUUGGUACCUUGGAUAUGGCUCCAUGCAGGUGACGGCACCGUCCUUGCUAGCUGGUAUGUGUCUGGGAGAAGGCUGCAGCUGGGAGCCUCACACAGAGCCACGUGCAGCUGCCCAAAGCCUGUGUGUGCUGCACUCACAGGAGAGAACUACACGCAUUUGGCCUCCUGCCUCUGACAGAACAAAGUGCUUUCUAGGUAUCAGUGAACUGAGUCUGGCAGCAUUGCUUUUCUAAGGUGGUGAAGUCCCCGUUUCAUCAGAGGAAAAAACUAUGGGUUUACCUACAUGAAGAUACUCCAGAAUCCUAAUUUGAAUGAACUUUGCAAGCUAAUGAAACUUUUAAAAACUUAAUUAAAUCACAUUAAAGCCUCAUGUGGGCAUUUUAACUUAAGAAGAACAUUUAAUUUAGCCCACCAUUAUUCUUACUAAAGGUGUCCACUUUAAUACAGAUGACUCACCUAUUUGAAAUGUGUGCUUCUAGUUCACCUAGAUGACUUUUCCCUCCAUUUUCCGUUGUAAAGAAGCCAUUCAAGAGAGAGAAGGAACUUGCUUGGGAUCAUCCAAAAGAAGUGCCAGGAGCAGAACUGUGGGAGGCCAGACAUACAUGAGUAUUCAGGUUCUUGAGGACAUAGAGUGAGUCCGUUUGUCUACCUUAAUAUGCCAGCAAAGCAGUCGGAACAGAAAUACCAAAGCCUGCAAGUUUUACAGGAUGAUCCCAGCCUCAGGCACUCCACAGGAGCCAACAGGAGAAUCUGGUGGGCAGCUUAAAGACUUCUUCAUAUAAAAGCCACAAAUUUAGACUUUUCUCUUCCCCCAACCAAAUGGCAGAAUGAGGUUGGGCAGUGUAGAGAGAUUCAAAUACACAUUGGAAUAAAACAUAAAAAUGAGCAAGACAGAAAAAUGGUGAGUAGCAUCUAUAGGCUAGGUAAUUUACUCUCAAAUAUUAUAGUCUUAAUUUGAGAUUUUUUUAUUCUCAAAUAUCAGACUAGACUUACUAUGCUGGACUGUUUCCACAUUCUGGGAUCAUCAGUAAUGUUCAGAACAUAUAUAUAAGCACUUUUCCAGUGCUGGAUCUUCACACAAUACUUAGGACAAGAGCACUACUUCUUACAUUUUCCUAAGGCAGAAAGUGAGAAAUGGGAAAAAGUGACUUGGCCUUGGCCACACUAGACAGAUGUUUACCAGAGAACUGGAGGCAACACUCACAAAUCAAACUAUAGUUAUACUUUGUUUGGCACCAUAACACAUAGACCCAUCUGUCCGAAGCUCACAAGGUCCACAGGAGAGCUGGGCACAGUCCUCAGGUGGAGGUCUGUAGACAGACAGUUCUCUUGCAACACUCAUAGAUACCCACCCAUCUUGCCUUCUCUAUUGCCAGUAUCCCUUGGAUCUAGAUCUUUCCUCAGGCUGCCAGUCCUCCAUCUGAAAAACUACAGUGCUCUGAAAAGCCCUGUAGAAACAACGUUGGAGUUAUUAACCUCUCAGCGACCUAUGCCUAGACCCUUAUUACAGCACCCUUACAUGAAGUUGAAUAAAACAGCAUAUUCAACUGAAA